CAGUAAGAGCUUGCUCUUAUGGGUGGGGAGUGGCGGACGGGUGAGGAAUACAUCGGAAUCUACUUUUUCGUGGGGGAUAACGUAGGGAAACUUACGCUAAUACCGCAUACGACCUUCGGGUGAAAGCAGGGGACCUUCGGGCCUUGCGCGAUUGAAUGAGCCGAUGUCGGAUUAGCUAGUUGGCGGGGUAAAGGCCCACCAAGGCGACGAUCCGUAGCUGGUCUGAGAGGAUGAUCAGCCACACUGGAACUGAGACACGGUCCAGACUCCUACGGGAGGCAGCAGUGGGGAAUAUUGGACAAUGGGCGCAAGCCUGAUCCAGCCAUACCGCGUGGGUGAAGAAGGCCUUCGGGUUGUAAAGCCCUUUUGUUGGGAAAGAAAUGCAGCGGGCUAAUACCCUGCUGUUCUGACGGUACCCAAAGAAUAAGCACCGGCUAACUUAGUGCCAGCCGUGUCGGUAAUACGAAGGGUGC
rnacentral:rRNA from 1 species